rnacentral:rRNA from 1 species
UUCUUAGUGGCGAACGGGUGAGUAACGCGUGGGCAACCUGCCCUCUAGAUGGGGACAACAUCCCGAAAGGGGUGCUAAUACCGAAUGUGACAGCAAUCUCGCAUGAGGAUGCUGUGAAAGAUGGCCUCUAUUUAUAAGCUAUCGCUAGAGGAUGGGCCUGCGUCUGAUUAGCUAGUUGGUGGGGUAACGGCCUACCAAGGCGAUGAUCAGUAGCCGGUCUGAGAGGAUGAACGGCCACAUUGGGACUGAGACACGGCCCAGACUCCUACGGGAGGCAGCAGUAGGGAAUCUUCCGCAAUGGGCGAAAGCCUGACGGAGCAAUGCCGCGUGAGUGAUGAAGGAAUUCGUUCCGUAAAGCUCUUUUGUUUAUGACGAAUGUGCAGAUUGUAAAUAAUGAUCUGUAAUGACGGUAGUAAACGAAUAAGCCACGGCUAACUACGUGCCAGCAGCCGCGGUAAUACGUAGGUGGCGAGCGUUGUCCGGAAUUAUUGGGCGUAAAGAGCAUGUAGGCGGUUUUUUAAGUCUGGAGUGAAAAUGCGGGGCUCAACCCCGUAUGGCUCUGGAUACUGGAAGACUUGAGUGCAGGAGAGGAAAGGGGAAUUCCCAGUGUAGCGGUGAAAUGCGU